rnacentral:rRNA from 1 species
AGUGAACGCUGGCGGUAGGCCUAACACAUGCAAGUCGAACGGCAGCACAGUAAGAGCUUGCUCUUACGGGUGGCGAGUGGCAGACGGGUGAGGAAUACAUCGGAAUCUACUUUUUCGUGGGGGAUAACGUAGGGAAACUUACGCUAAUACCGCAUACGACCUACGGGUGAAAGCAGGGGAUCUUCGGACCUUGCGCGAUUGAAUGAGCCGAUGUCGGAUUAGCCAGUUGGCGGGGUAAAGGCCCACCAAGGCGACGAUCCGUAGCUGGUCUGAGAGGAUGAUCAGCCACACUGGAACUGAGACACGGUCCAGACUCCUACGGGAGGCAGCAGUGGGGAAUAUUGGACAAUGGGCGCAAGCCUGAUCCAGCCAUACCGCGUGGGUGAAGAAGGCCUUCGGGUUGUAAAGCCCUUUUGUUGGGAAAGAAAGGCAGCAGGUUAAUACCCCGCUGUUCUGACGGUACCCAAAGAAUAAGCACCGGCUAACUUCGUG